rnacentral:tRNA from 1 species
GGAGAGGUGGCUGAGUGGCUUAAGGUACUCGCUUGGAAAGUGAGCGUAGGGCAACCUACCGAGGGUUCGAAUCCCUCCUUCUCCGCCA